rnacentral:rRNA from 1 species
GAUGAACGCUGGCGGCGUGCUUAACACAUGCAAGUCGAGCGGUGAAAGGGAGCUUGCUCUCUGGAUCAGCGGCGAACGGGUGAGUAACACGUGAGCAAUCUGCCCCUGACUCUGGGAUAAGCGCUGGAAACGGCGUCUAAUACCGGAUACGAGCUGCGAAGGCAUCUUCAGCAGCUGGAAAGAACUUCGGUCAGGGAUGAGCUCGCGGCCUAUCAGCUAGUUGGUGAGGUAACGGCUCACCGAGGCGUCGACGGGUAGCCGGCCUGAGAGGGUGACCGGCCACACUGGGACUGAGACACGGCCCAGACUCCUACGGGAGGCAGCAGUGGGGAAUAUUGCACAAUGGGCGAAAGCCUGAUGCAGCAACGCCGCGUGAGGGACGACGGCCUUCGGGUUGUAAACCUCUUUUAGCAGGGAAGAAGCGAAAGUGACGGUACCUGCAGAAAAAGCGCCGGCUAACUACGUG